ACUAGAGUUUUGCUCCUGGGACGGGACGUCCGAGAGCUUUUGGUUCCAGAGGGCCAUAGUCUUCAUAUACUUCAGCACUCCAUGAAGGCUUUCUUGGUACUGUUCAAAGUAAGAUAUAACAAGUUGCUGUGUUGCAUACAUCUUUACACCUUCAUUGCUUGUUCUCCCAGGCAUGCUAUCAUACCCAAGGCCACAUGGUGAGAUGGAAAGACACUGCAUCUGAAGUCAAGGGACCAAGGUUUCAAAUUCUCAAUGUCCCCCUUGCAUGAUGGGCAACUGACAUAUCACUCCGCACUUUGCUUGUUGAUUUCUUCAUUGAGUGACAGUAAAAUGGUUGAGUCUGUUCCCAGCUGUCAGACUGCCAGGAAUAUCUAGUAGUUUGGUUUCCUCUUCUGGAAAAUGACAUUAGUAGUUAAUGCUACAGUGUUUACUUUGUGCCAGGCCAUUUCCUAAGUACUUUACAUAUAUAUUUACUCUUUUAAGUCUCAUGACAACCCUAUGAGGUAGUGUGUUAGUACAUUUUGCAUUGCUAUAAAGGAAUACCUAAGACUGGGUAAUUUAUAAAGAAAAGACAUUUAUUUG
rnacentral:lncRNA from 10 species